rnacentral:rRNA from 1 species
AGAGUUUGAUCAUGGCUCAGAACGAACGCUGGCGGCGUGCCUAACACAUGCAAGUCGAGCGGUAACGCGGGAGCAAUCCUGGCGACGAGCGGCGAACGGGUGAGUAAUGCUUCGGAAUCUACCCAGUAGUGGGGAAUAACCAGCCGAAAGGUUGGCUAAUACCGCAUACGACCUACGGGUGAAAGCAGGGGAUCGCAAGA